UACAGAGGGUGCGAGCGUUGUCCGGAAUCACUGGGCGUAAAGCGUGCGCAGGCGGUUUUGUAAGCCAGAUGUGAAAUCCCCGGGCUUAACCUGGGAAUGGCAUUUGGGACUGCAAGGCUGGAGUGUGGCAGAGGAGACUGGAAUUCCUGGUGUAGCAGUGAAAUGCGUAGAUAUCAGGAGGAAUACCGAUGGCGAAGGCAGGUCUCUGGGCUGACACUGACGCUCAUGCACGAAAGCGUGGGGAGCAAACAGG
rnacentral:rRNA from 1 species